GGCGCACGGGUGAGUAACGCAUAGGUAAUGUGCCCCUUAGUCUGGGAUAGCCACUGGAAACGGUGAUUAAUACUAGAUACUCCUUCUCAUUAUAAGAUGAGUCGGGAAAGUUUUUCGCUAAGGGAUCAGCCUAUGUCCUAUCAGCUAGUUGGUGAGGUAACGGCUCACCAAGGCUAUGACGGGUAUCUGGUUUGAGAGGAUGAUCAGACACACUGGAACUGAGACACGGUCCAGACUCCUACGGGAGGCAGCAGUGAGGAAUAUUGGACAAUGGAUGGAAAUCUGAUCCAGCCAUGCCGCGUGCAGGAAGACGGCCCUAUGGGUUGUAAACUGCUUUUAUAUGGGAGCAAUAAGGCCUACGAGUAGGUUGAUGAGAGUACCAUAUGAAUAAGCACCGGCUAACUCCGUGCCAGCAGCCGCGGUAAUACGGAGGGUGCAAGCGUUAUCCGGAUUUAUUGGGUUUAAAGGGUGCGUAGGCGGUUUGAUAAGUCAGCGGUGAAAUAUUUCAGCUUAACUGGAAGGGUGCCGUUGAUACUGUCAGGCUUGAAUUUAGUUGCUGUGGGUGGAAUGUGUGGUGUAGCGGUGAAAUGCAUAGAUAUCACACAGAAUAUCGAUUGCGAAGGCAGCUCACAAAGCUAAAAUUGACGCUGAUGCACGAAAGUGUGGGGAUCAAACAGGAUUAGAUACCCUGGUAGUCCACACUGUAAACGAUGAUAACUCGCUGUCGGCGAUACAUAGUCGGUGGCCAAGCGAAAGCGAUAAGUUAUCCACCUGGGGAGUACGACCGCAAGGUUGAAACUCAAAGGAAUUGACGGGGGCCCGCACAAGCGGAGGAACAUGUGGUUUAAUUCGAUGCAACGCGAAAAACCUUACCUACCCUUGACAUGUCAAGAAUCCCUAGAGAAUUAGGGAGUGCCGCAAGGAACUUGAACACAGUGCUGCAUGGCUGUCGUCAGCUCGUGUCGUGAAGAAUUGUUUGGGGUAGUCCCGCACGAGCGCACCCUUGUCAUAGUGCCAUCAUUUAGUGGGCACUCUAUGA
rnacentral:rRNA from 1 species